UCGUUCCGUUGUUCCAAAAAUCACCUCCGACGGCGAAGGAGGUCCUAUUGUCGAACACAACAUACCACAAGAACCAUCUCAUCUUCCUAGUCCUCAUUCUAAACUGGGAUUUCUCCAAUUCUUCGCCAACCUCAAGAAUAAGAGAAGACUAGAGUGGAAACCCUAGGUCUCAACUUUUCAAUUACAGACUAAUGGAUAAGGAAAUAAAGCUCAAACCAUAGGGGUUUGACUCCUCGCACCAAGAUUUACAUCACAGCAAGAAGAAAAGAGCAAGAAAAUGAUUUUUCACCAACCAUCGAAGCGGAGGAGAGAUUCGGUGUUUGUUGGAAUUGAAGAAGACGAAGCUCAAGAAAAUACCAGAGGAAUACGAUUAUCAAGGUUGCAACUUAAAUGGAAUUGGGCUUCACAUGAAUGACGACCUACUGAACAGCUAGUGCAGGUUAUCUGUGUUGGUCGAUGCACAUUGCUUGCUAAUGACAGGUUCUGCUUGAUAACUGAAGAGGAAGGCAGGGCAGAGAAAACUGGUUGAUUGGUCAGGAGGAACAAGAUUCUUGCAUUCGUGUUGCAGGUCAAGCUAUGAUGCUAUCUCAUGCCAGGGCAACAAGGGUUGAAAGCAAGGUCAUUGUAGCAAGGUAGUGGUGUCCUGAGUCUGAUGAUGUUUUAUUCAGUAGGUUUUGCCUUGUGUAUCAUGGCUUCACGUUGAUUCUACAACGUGGUUUCAACUUGAUUUAUCAGCAUGGUUUGUGUUUAUGCUUGCUCCAGGUGUGAAUUAGGCUAGAUUGCAAGUGGAUUGGACUUGAACCAUGAUGCAUGGUAUGGUUUAAUAGGUGUUCUGCAUUAGACCAUAUUGGUUCUGUUUGUUGGAUUAGAUGUUUGACGUUAGCAGGGACAAGAUUAAAGUGAAUUGUCCCUGAUAUGACAAAGGGUGCAUUCAUGACCUGUUUUGGAUGUGUCCAUCAUAUGCCUAAAGCUUAAUUCAAUGGUGACAUGCCAAUGUGUGCUUGUAGCUAAUGAUAACUAGGAUUGUCAUAUUAUGUUUAGAUGACUUUUGCAUGAUCAAUGAUUGGUAUAUUAAUGUUUACUUGUGCAUACAUGAUGCAGGAUCAUAUGUUGGUGUAGUUGGACACCAAGGCAAGGUGAAACAAGGCCAUAACCAAAGUAAAGCAAGGCAUGGGUAACCAAGUUCAAGCAUAAAGCCACAAGGUGGGAAACCAAGUUCAAAUGGUCAACUCAAGGUUAAAAUGGACAUGUAAUAUGAAAGUGGGGCUAGGAUUGAUUAUUUAUUGUGAAAAAUAAAAUUGGGUUGACUUUGGUCAAAGUUGACCAAAAAGCCAAUUGUUGACCAAUGUCAACACUUGGCCAAAAUUGCCAAUCUCUUUUUUCAUGUGAUGAACAUUUUUAUGGCUUAUGAAUGGAAAUUGA